AUGAUGUAUUUUGGCCUGAAGAUUACUUCUUUCCAGCUGGUGCUAGAGACCUAAUUGACAGACUACUAAAAAAGGACCCAUUGGAACGUCUGGGCACAGCUGGCACGAAUGAGUUGAAACAGCAUCUAUUCUUUAUGAAUCUAGAUUGGAACAAAUUACUUGAGGAGGAACCGGAGUUUGUUCCAAACUUGUUAUCUGAGGAAGAUACAGUGUACUUUAAACCCCGUUCAGGAGAAGUGCAUCAUGACAGCUAUAAAAUGAAUACCUUCAGUGGUGAUGAUGAAUAUGUGAAAAUCAGCAAUUUUUCUUCCUGUUCUCCCCGGUUCUAUAAGGUAAUAGAU